UAGUGUGGACAGAGAUGAUAUCAAUGA
rnacentral:piRNA from 1 species